AUGGCCACCGGAGGAGUAGUAGUGCUCAACCUGCGCGUCCCGUCGGCUUCAGUGGCGCCGGCGAGGCCGGUGGGCGGGGGGCUGGAGGAUGACCACUACCGGACGCUGAGGCUGGCGCCGGGGGCCACCAGGGGCGAGGUCAAGAGGGCCUUCCACCGCCUCGCGCUGCAGUACCACCCGGACGUCGUGCGGCGAGGCGGCAGCGACGUCUGGCAAGAAAAUAGCAUCGACUUCGAGCGGAUCAACGCGGCAUACCAGAGGGUGAUGAGCAACAUGCGCGAGGCGGAGGCGAGGCUCGAGUACUGGCGGCUCCGCUACGGUCUCGCCGACGAGGACCUCGACCGGUACCGCCGCUACCUCAACGACGACGACGAGGACGACUGGUUCAGAGACCUCUGA
rnacentral:rRNA from 1 species